rfam:Postia placenta Mad-698-R POSPLscaffold_21_Cont1457, whole genome shotgun sequence.
UCCGAUAUGGUGUAACGGCUAACAUUGCCGCCUUUCAUUAUCCAGUGAGCGCGGCAGCUCGGGGUUCGAUUCCCCGUAUCGGAG